UACGUAGGCAGCAAGCGUUGUUCGGAAUUACUGGGCGUAAAGAGUGUGUAGGCGGUGCUCUAAGUCUGUUGUGAAAUCUCCCGGCUUAACUGGGAGGGUGCGGCGGAAACUGGAGUGCUCGAGGGUGGGAGAGGUAAGCGGAAUUCCUGGUGUAGCGGUGAAAUGCGUAGAUAUCAGGAGGAACACCUGUGGUGUAGACAGCUUACUGGACCACUUCUGACGCUGAGACACGAAAGCGUGGGUAGUAAACAGG
rnacentral:rRNA from 1 species